UACGGAGGAUGCGAGCGUUAUCCGGAUUUAUUGGGUUUAAAGGGUGCGUAGGCGGGAUGACAAGUCAGCGGUAAAAAUGCGGUGCUCAACGCCGUCGAGCCGUUGAAACUGGCGUUCUUGAGUGGGCGAGAAGUAUGCGGAAUGCGUGGUGUAGCGGUGAAAUGCAUAGAUAUCACGCAGAACUCCGAUUGCGAAGGCAGCAUACCGGCGCCCUACCGACGCUGAGGCUCGAAAGCAUGGGUAGCGAACAGG
rnacentral:rRNA from 1 species